UACAGAGGGUGCGAGCGUUAAUCGGAAUUACUGGGCGUAAAGCGCGCGUAGGCGGCUUUGCAAGUCGAGUGUGAAAUCCCCGGGCUUAACCCGGGAACUGCAUUCGAGACUGCAUAGCUAGAGUAUGGGAGAGGGAAGUGGAAUUUCAGGUGUAGCGGUGAAAUGCGUAGAUAUCUGGAGGAACACCGGUGGCGAAGGCGGCAUCCUGGACCGACACUGACGCUGAGGAGCGAAAGCCAGGGGGAGCAAACGGGG
rnacentral:rRNA from 1 species